AUUGAACGCUGGCGGCAGGCCUAACACAUGCAAGUCGAACGGUAACAGGAAGCAGCUUGCUGCUUCGCUGACGAGUGGCGGACGGGUGAGUAAUGUCUGGGGAACUGCCCGAUGGAGGGGGAUAACUACUGGAAACGGUAGCUAAUACCGCAUAACGUCGCAAGACCAAAGAGGGGGACCUUCGGGCCUCUUGCCAUCGGAUGUGCCCAGAUGGGAUUAGCUUGUUGGCGAGGUAACGGCUCACCAAGGCGACGAUCCCUAGCUGGUCUGAGAGGAUGACCAGCCACACUGGAACUGAGACACGGUCCAGACUCCUACGGGAGGCAGCAGUGGGGAAUAUUGCACAGUGGGCGCAAGCCUGAUGCAGCCAUGCCGCGUGUAUGAAGAAGGCCUUCGGGUUGUAAAGUACUUUCAGCGGGGAGGAAGGUGUUGUGGUUAAUAACCGCAGCAAUUGACGUUACCCGCAGAAGAAGCACCGGCUAACUCCGUGCCAGCAGCCGCCGUAA
rnacentral:rRNA from 1 species